rnacentral:rRNA from 1 species
UAGUUGGCCGGUGCUUCUUCUGUACCUACCGUCACUUGCGCUUCGUCGGUACUGAAAGAGGUUACAACCGAAGGCCGUUAUCCCUCACGCGGCGUUGCUGGAUCAGGCUUCCGCCCAUUGUCCAAUAUUCCCC